rnacentral:rRNA from 1 species
AGUGAACGCUGGCGGUAGGCCUAACACAUGCAAGUCGAACGGCAGCACAGGAGAGCUUGCUCUCUGGGUGGCGAGUGGCGGACGGGUGAGGAAUACAUCGGAAUCUACUCUGUCGUGGGGGAUAACGUAGGGAAACUUACGCUAAUACCGCAUACGACCUACGGGUGAAAGCAGGGGAUCUUCGGACCUUGCGCGAUUGAAUGAGCCGAUGUCGGAUUAGCUAGUUGGCGGGGUAAAGGCCCACCAAGGCGACGAUCCGUAGCUGGUCCGAGAGGAUGAUCGUCCACACUGGAACUGAGACACGGUCCAGACUCCUACGGGAGGCAGCAGUGGGGAAUAUUGGACAAUGGGCGCAAGCCUGAUCCAGCCAUACCGCGUGGGUGAAGAAGGCCUUCGGGUUGUAAAGCCCUUUUGCUGGGAAAGAAAUCCAGCUGGCUAAUACCCGGUUGGGAUGACGGUACCCAAAGAAUAAGCACCGGCUAACUUCGUGCCAGCAGCCGCCGUAA